rnacentral:rRNA from 1 species
CCUACGGGUGGCUGCAGUAGGGAAUCUUCCACAAUGGACGAAAGUCUGAUGGAGCAACGCCGCGUGCGUGAAGAAGGGUUUCGGCUCGUAAAGCUCUGUUGGUAGUGAAGAACGAUCGAGGUAGUAACUGGCCUUUAUUUGUCGGUAAUUACUUAGAAAGUCACGGCUAACUACGUGCCAGCAGCCGCGGUAAUACGUAGGUGGCAAGCGUUGUCCGGUUUUAUUGUGCGUAAAGCGAGUGCAGGCGGUUCAGUAAGUCUGAUGUGAAAGCCUUCGGCUCAACCGGAGAAUUGCAGCAGAAACGGUUGAACUUGAGUGCAGAAGAGGAGAGUGGAACUCCAUGUGUAGCGGUGGAAUGCGUAGAUAUAUGGAAGAACACCAGUGGCGAAGGCGGCUCUCUGGUCUGCAACUGACGCUGAGGCUCGAAAGCAUGGGUAGCGAACAGGAUUAGAUACUCGGGUAGUC